rnacentral:lncRNA from 1 species
AUAUCACUUAUUUUACUUACAUCAAAGGAAAUGUAUAGUUGCUGAAAGUAGUGAGAAUUAAUAUAUUAUGAUUUUACAUCUUCAUGUGCUGGUGAAUUAAAAAAAGUAGCAGGACAUGUUCUAUAAAAGCUUGUUAUCUCCUGUUCUUUUGUGUUUCUAGCAUACGGCAUUGGUACCUCCAGGUACUUUCAUUCCCAGCACAAGAUACAUUUUUUUUUUUUUUUUAUAUAUGUGUGCUUGUAUGUGUGCUUUAGGUGAAGGCAAUGUUGCCUAUUCUUCAAAGACUUUGAUUUAAUAAGGAAUAGACCUCUGUUUUUCAUCAAAUAAAGUCUGUGACUUUGGUGUUCCUUGCCCAGGGAAGGCCGGUGUUCUGCAGCAUCCUUUGGUGGUGCCGUCUGGUGGAGAAGGAGCUCGGGACAACUGCAAGAACCGACCCCUGUGAGCUUUCUGCCCGUGAUAACCCCAGAAAUUUCAAGCAACAGUUCUUGGAAACCAUAUGGAGAUCAGCCUGGGAGUUUUGCAAGGUAAGGGACUGCCUGCGAUGCCAGGAUGUCUGGCUGGGUGCAGAGAUUUGCAUCUUUUCUGUUUUGAAAUUAUUCUAUUGUAACAAUUUUCAUUUUAGUUUAGUUUGGCAAUACGUCCUUGUUUCUAAAGGUGUCUACACUUAUUAGACUACAGAAAAUAUUUACUUUUCUAAAGGGCAGCUUAACCUUUGUUUAAAUUUGAGGUGAGCAAAAGGUCAUUGUAAUUAUUUGCUGCAUUAUUUGUGUCACAUCUGAGUUACUAUGAAGGCUGAACAUGCACUGCCCUUUAUUAAGAAACUUAACAAAACCCAGUGCAACCACAUUUUUUGCAUUUAGCAAAUAUUUUACUGAACUGAUGGCAGUUACAGGAAACUUUCACCAUGCAAGCUCUGACUGAGACUAAGUUAGCAGAAGAC